rnacentral:rRNA from 1 species
CCCUUAGACGUUCUGGGCCGCACGCGCGCUACACUGACCAGUGCAACAAGCAUCCGUCCUUGGCCGACAGGCCCGGGCAAUCUUUGAACGCUGGUCGUGAUGGGGAUAGACUUUUGCAAUUUUUGGUCUUCAACGAGGAAUUCCUAGUAAACGCAAGUCAUCAACUUGCAUUGAUUACGUCCCUGCCCUUUGUACAAACCGCCCGUCGCACCUACCGAUUGAAUGGUCCGGUGAAGCCUCCGGAUUGGCGCGCACCUCGGUGCCGCCGAGAAGUUGGCUAAACCUUACCAUUUAGAGGAAGGUGAAGUCGUAACA